rnacentral:misc_RNA from 1 species
AGCGCAGGUAUUGCAUCGCGCAAACUCCGCCCUUGCAGCAUCCAGACCAUCAUCCAGAGAUUUGCCCUCAGUGCCAAAGGUCCACACAUUGCAAGUGGAACGGAGAAAUACAAAAGUGUACUUCUGUGUGUUUUUAACAGGUAAAAUCAUACGGUUUGCCUUUAAAUUGAUGAUGAUUUCAGAAGUUUACGAAAGAUAAAGGACGAGCAUCGCUCUGUCCUGUUGAUCUCUUUGAAGUGGACGUGAGAGACAAGAGCUACUUUCCUAAUGGCAGAUCACGAUAAUAUUUACGACGACGAGGAGCUAGUGUCGGCUAAUCCAAAUCAAAGGAAUUGGCGUGGGAUUUUAAUAGCUUUGCUCGUGAUCGUUGCGGUUUUAGCCCUUAUUGUCACGUCAGUUGCUUUACUCACACCACCUGAUGAAGGGCCCAGAGUUCGUGGUUCACGUUUACAACUCACCGAGCUUCUUUCGGGUGAAUUGUCUCCGUUGCUCUUUAAUGGAUCUUGGGUGAGCAAUCGUCAUAUAUGCUAUAGGGAUUUUUCAGGUGGUAUUUCUUUAAUGGAUGCAUCUGAUGCGAAUUUAGCAUCGCGUAGGUUGAUGUCAAAAGAAACAUUUAGAAGAUUAAAUCCUGCCAAAUUCUCGCUAUCACCGGACCACAAUUAUUUGUUACUUGCUCAAAAUAUGAAAAAAUUAUUUAGAUAUUCUUAUUUAGCUCAAUAUAUAGUCUAUGAUGUGGAAACACAAGAUAUAAUACCAUUGACACCUCAUCCCGAAAAGGAAAAUCAUCCAUAUCUGUUGUUAGCUAAAUGGACACCUCGUGGCCAUGGACUCGUUAUGGUACAAGAUUAUGAUAUUUAUUAUAGAACGGGUCCUUUGAGUAACAGGGGUUAUCGCAUAACUGAUACUGCAAUACCUGGAAUUCUAUCUAAUGGUCUACCAGAUUGGUUAUACGAAGAAGAAAUUUUACAUAGCGCCGAAGCAAUCUGGAUGUCACCCGAUGGUCAUAUGAUGCUUUAUGCAUCAUUUAAUGAUUCGUUAGUUGAAGAAAUGCAUAUUCCUUGGUUUGGAGAAGAAAACAGUUCUUUGUAUCCUGAUAUACGAUCUUUGAGAUAUCCUAAGCCAGGAACUCCAAAUCCUUUUGUGAAUCUAUAUGUCGCUGAUCUUGUUGAUCUAAAGAAUAUUCAGACGAGAGUAGUGAAACCACCCCUUGUCAUCGAACACGUAGAUCAUUAUUUUACUACUGCUUCCUGGGUAUCAGUAACGGAAAUUUGUAUAUCGUGGUUAACCAGAACUCAGGAACUCUCAGUCGUAACAAUUUGUAAAAGUCCUAGGUGGCAUUGUCAGGAGAUACAAAGAAUAGAAAGUUAUAAACCCGGAUGGGUUGACACACCACCAGAGGCACCACUAUUCUCAACUAAUGGCAGCAGUUACAUAUCGAUCAGUCCUGUAUCAGAUGGACAUGCUGGGUUUUUUAAGCAUAUUGUACUAGUAAAUGUACUUCGAAAGACACAGACAUCCUUGACACAUGGACGAUUAGAAGUUGUUAAAAUAUUAGGGUGGAAUAAAGUCAAUAAUACCAUAUAUUUCAUAGGUAUACCACCAAUGCGUCCUGGGCAAAGACACUUAUAUCGGAUCAGUUCACUUAUACCUCAGGAUAUUUCGCCGCAUCCUGCAAUUUGCAUCACGUGUAACGCUCAGUUUACUAAAAUAAAUAACAAUCAAAGCAGCUACCACACAACAUUUUCGGAUCGUCGUAAUGGAUGGAUGGGAAAUAAUUUGCACGAGGAAUAUGAUGUACAAACGGAAAGUCCUGAAGAUAAGGAACAACGACGUGCAAAAGAAAAAGCGAAAAAGCAGAAAUCAAAAGCUUCGCACGCUUCUAAUUUGGAGGAACCACCUUGUCAAUAUCAUCACGCCAUUUUUCCAUCUUACGGAUUGGACUACUUCGUUCUAGAAUGUCUUGGUCCUGGGAUACCUACGAUCUCACUUUAUAAAAUUGAUACGCCAAUGCCACGAUUGUUGACUGUUCUACAGAAUAAUACAGCGUUACGCGAAAAAAUAUCUAAGAUCGCUCUCCCGCAAGUGAAAACGUUCCCGGUACAGAUAAGUGGUGGUUACAAUGCACAAGUAAGAUUACAUUUACCACCUGGUUUGCGAGAAGACGAAAUCACGCGUUAUCCUCUAGUUGUACAGGUAUAUGGAGCACCAGGGUCUCAGUUGGUGACGGAGAUGUUUAAAAUCGAUUGGAAUACAUAUUUAGCCAGUCAGAAAAAUUUUAUUGUAGCUCAGAUAGAUGGUCGAGGUAGCGGAGGUCAAGGAUACGAACUACUUCAUGAAGUUUAUUAUAGACUUGGUACUGCCGAAGUAGCUGAUCAAUUAGAAGUUACGGAAUAUUUGAGAGAUUCGUUACACUUUAUAGACAAACGGUGCGUCGCAAUUUGGGGUUGGAGUUAUGGUGGUUUUGUUGCAACAUUAGCUCUAGCUCAUCCCGGACAAACCGUUUUUCAUUGUGGAAUAAGCGUGGCACCUAUCGUUUCAUGGAAACUCCAUGAUUCUGCUUAUACCGAGAGAUACAUGGGAUUACCAAACUUUACUUCUAAUUAUCAAGGUUACGUUGAUUCUGAUGUUUACAACAAAAUCGAGUAUCUACGUAAUAAAAUGUUUUAUUUAGUCCACGGAACUGCGGACGAUAACGUUCAAUUUCAACAAUCCAUGGCACUUGCGCGUCACCUUGCGAAAAAGGCCAUUCUCUUUCGACAACAGUAAUUACAAUGCAACAAGAAGCUGAUCGGACAUGAUAUGGAAAGAAAAAAUCGUGGAUUCUUAUAUUUGAGUAUCAAAUAUGUACAUACAUAAAAUUUAAAAGUGUAUCCAGAUGUGAGUCAUACUUUAACGGGUGUAAAAAAACACUUAUACUUAUCCAUGGCUCAGUUUUUGGAAGAUUGCUUCCA